CUCCAACCCCAGCCCCUAGGCAGAGCUCUCCCUCUAAAUCAUCAGCAUCCCACGCCAGUGAUCCGACCGCAGAUGACAUCUUUGAAGAAGGCUUUGAAAGUCCCAGCAAGAGUGAAGAACAAGAGGCUCCUGAUGGAUCACAGGCGUCCUCCACCAGUGAUCCAUUUGGGGAGCCCAGUGGUGAUCCCAGUGGUGAUAAUAUAAGUCCACAAGACGGUAGCUAGAUAGCGCAGGUCUGGGAGCCAGAGCCUCUCUAUGCGCAGAUCAACAGACCUAAGAAAUAGCAUCAAUGCGAGCUCAUGGUGGGUGCUUCGAGACUGGCAUGGGAAUCAGCGGUGCCACAGGCUCUCUUGUGCUCUCACCUCACCUCAUCCCACAGAGAAACUCACAGUCGCCCCGUGAAAACUGUCUGAAGAGAGAACAGAGUGGUUUUUGGCAACCAUCAGCAGAUACCUAUGGCAGCACAAAAAAAAAAAAAAAAAAAAGCAAAAUAAAACACAACACCCCCACAAAGAUAUUUUCAAAAUAAAUAAAAAAAAAAAUAAAACCCAACAUUGAUCACCAGUCAAGCUGAUGCUUAACCAAGAAAUACCUUGAGCUCUCUCAGCUGGGCCUGAAAUGCCCCGGAUGUGAAACCAUUAUUGUGCUUUUAUUUCGCUACCUGUUGACCACUGUAGAGACCACAGAUGUGUACUGGCGGGCGUCAGAGAAUUGCAACGAGGUUGGCACUAACUCCUUUUAGGCCAAAGCAAGGGAUCCUCUGUGACCACAGUGUCAUCUUCCAUAUGCCUUCUGGCUGUGGCAAUGUGCGUGGCAUCUCUCCACAGGGCCUGGUCUGCCAUGCUGUGUCCCCUGUCCUCCUCUUGUCAUGUUUGAGAAAUAAUGAGUGUACAAAUUUUUGUAUUGCUUUUGACUUUUUUUUUUUUAGAAAGGGGUGAAGUCUACGUGGGGGAGGGAAAGCCUCUUAUGAAGUGAAUUCACUUGAAAUCACAAGGCAAAACAAGUGGUUGGUUCUUCAUUAUACACAAGAAUGUUGCCAAAACAACCCUUUAGUUGUCCUGCAUCCCGAUGAAGAAAGCCAGCUUCUGGAUGGAACCUUCGUUCUGGGGGUAACAAAGGACAUCGCAUCCCCUUGAUGAGAAAGAUGGAAAAUGCAUCCAGUUCCCCUGAGAAGCUGUGGACUCUUGAGUACAAUAAAAUGAUCUCUUUAUUUUUCUGAUACUUCGCUGCUGUGAUGCUGUGCAGACAAGUGUCUUCUCCAUGCGCCAUUUUCAAAGAAAAGUCAUUUGCCAAAUAAUUCUGGUACAAUUCUGGUAAUAUGGUUUUGGAUCUUAGAAACCAGCUUUCUCAUGGUGACAUUCAACGUAACAAACUGACGCUGUGCUCAAAUGGUUCAUCUCUAUCUCUUUUUGUACAUCAGAAAAUUCAAAUGGGAUUUUCUUUUUUUUUAUUUUCUAACUGGAAAAGGAAAACCUUACCAUUAAACUCUUUAACUGUUGAAGGGAAAUGGCUUUAAGGAGUUCUGAUGAUGUAAAUAUGUCAAUGAAGAUGCUUUUAAUAAUACCAUUACACUGUAGAGAAGGUAGCAGAAGGAGUGUAAGGUGCAAAAAAGGAAACAUGAUGGGUGGGGCCCCCUCUCCAGUUUUUCUGGGAUGACUUGUAGGAAGUUAAGGUUCAGAGACAGGCAGAAGUCUUGGGCCAAUCAGCAGCUAGUAAACAGGAGGGGACAGGACUUCAGAGCCAACUUUUCUUAACUUCCCUUAAGCCCAAGGGAAGAGAAAGGAGGCUCCCAUAGGAAGGUUUCAGAUUCCAUAAAGCACCCACCUCUCGGCUCCCACUUCCGCUCCCAUCAGUUCCCUGGACAGAUCGUACGUGAAACAGAAGGAGUCAAUUCCUGAUUUUACACUUAUGGGACAAAAGUCUACUGUCAGUUCAUAUGUCUAGAACACAACGUUCAUAAAGAAUCUAUAUAUUUUUACCCUAUAGAGAAUUGUUAUACAGGUCAAAUAUGUUUUCCUGAUGUUCCUAUGCAGUUACAUGUUGGAUUUGGUGGUUUGACGUAAAGAAGGAAACCCUCAAGAGUCAUGUGAUUGGAUCUGGGAGUAAUUAUUAAUUUGAAAAGUCAGAUUUACCUUGAUAUGAUUCAUUAACAUUGGCCUGUAUGCUUUGGCUUCUUCCUAGCAAUAGGAACUAAAAUGAUUUUGAAGAUGUUCUUAAAGUGACUCUCCACAUAAGAAUCACAAAGUAAUGUCAAGCUAAUUGUUAUUAUUUAGAGCCGACAUUUUACAUUGGAAUAAAUGAACCACAUGUCUAUUAGCGAAUCUAUGUCGAUGCUACCCUACUGUAUUAUGUCCCAAGAGCUUGAGAAACGGGAAGAGUUGUUCACUGACUGCCUUCUGGAGCUGCUUCCUGUUGCUACAGGGCUCCUCCCACAAUGUAUAUCCAUGCUGUGAUGAGGCGCCCCUCUCAUGCAAAGCAGAAAUAGGAAGGAAUAAUGGCCGAGAAUUGUCCUGAAAGCCGUUCUGCUUCCCUGAAGUGUUGGCAAGAUGGGUGGUUGCCACAGGAGACAGCUUCGGUGGCUCUGGCGUCAUGGUGCCAAGUCUUCAUGAGUGGUGCUGUCGUCUCCCUCAUGGUAGCUGUCUGGGUUUGUCCAUCAGUGUCACACCCUUAUCCCUGCUCCUCGGGUUACUGUGACAUGAAGCCAACUCUGACUGGGGUUGCCAUUCCAGGUAUACCAUCUGCAGCCAGUGUCUCAGCAGGUGGUGACAGCCCGGCCGAUGGUCACCCCUCCCUGAGCAUGACUGGAUUGUAACUAGAUCCGAGCUGAAGGAAGAUGCCCAGCUGACACGCUAAAGUGAGGAGGAGAAGGUCGAGAUUUUUUAACUGCCUUCUGCACUUUCAUUGGCAGAAUACCGAUUGUUCCCCCCAGGCAUUUGGUGAGUUCAGAACCACUGUCCCCCCUACUCCAGGAAUAUAGUGACGUGUCCAAGCAGGAGCUGAGGUACCAAUGCUGAAAGAGUUUGGGGAGUCUGCACAGUUCUGGUUAGGCCGAUGGAAAGAUUUGUGUGUUUGACUCACUUCCUCAUCCUCUCCUAAGCACUGAAUUUGUCACUUUAAAUUUUGAAACCAGGGAAACGCCACCUGUCAGUCUGUCCCCAGUCCCCAUAGCUCCUCGGUCUCUCCAUGCCGCAAGACAUUUUUGAUAACUUGUGUUCAUCCUAGCGUCUUCAGCAACCCCAUCAUGUGAUGUACCGGGCACCUUCCUUUAAGACAAUGUUUACUCCGUGGGUUCGGUUCCUUUCAACUUCUGCAUUCUGACACAUAUUUUUUUAAUAAAGAUGAGAAAGAGAAAAAUGACUGUCGCAGUACGUUUCUAGACCUGCUUAACCUUUACCUCACAUGACAGUCCGUUCACAUAUAUGGACACAUUAUUUUUAACUUUAUGUACAGUGCAUUCAACAGAACAGCAAAAUUUUUAGAAAUUUUCCAUUAAUUUCUGUAACACGCCAUGUAAAACGGUUACAAAUAAACAUGUUUGAGAACAACAGCUUAGCCUGGUCUUAUUCCACAGGUUUCCAGCAGCCAGUCAGACAAGGGAUUAGACGAGGAACUGGUGGCUGGCAUUCAGUUUCCACCACACCAGAAAACAACCUCGGUUUCCCUGGCUCUGAGCUGGAAAGAGCAAGCCUCACUGAUGGUCCAUGGUCAGGCCUCACUGGGAUGCUUUGGUUUGUUUGUAUCCAUAGAAACUGACAUCGUUGG